rnacentral:rRNA from 1 species
AACGAACGCUGGCGGCAGGCCUAACACAUGCAAGUCGAGCGGACCUUUCGGGGUCAGCGGCGGACGGGUGAGUAACGCGUGGGAAUAUGCCCUUCUCUACGGAAUAGUCCUGGGAAACUGGGGGUAAUACCGUAUACGCCCUUUGGGGGAAAGAUUUAUCGGGGAAGGAUUAGCCCGCGUUGGAUUAGGUAGUUGGUGGGGUAAUGGCCUACCAAGCCGACGAUCCAUAGCUGGUUUGAGAGGAUGAUCAGCCACACUGGGACUGAGACACGGCCCAGACUCCUACGGGAGGCAGCAGUGGGGAAUCUUAGACACUGGGGGCAACCCUGAUCUAGCCAUGCCGCGUGAGUGAUGAAGGCCUUAGGGUUGUAAAGCUCUUUCAGCUGGGAAGAUAAUGACGGUACCAGCAGAAGAAGCCCCGGCUAACUCCGUG